CCUAAAGGAACUUUGUAAUUAAAGUCUGGCAUUAGGGCAUGACAGAGACAUCUGAAGUAGAUAGGGGCUUAGUUUGUAAUGUAUGUGGCCAGAACUAAAGAACUAGAUCUUGUUAGGCAAAGACUGAACAACCAAAAAUAGCUUAUGUUCAUUGAGGUGGGACCUAUGAGGAUUUCAUUAGAAAGUUUGGUGACCACUCAUGCUGUGCAGCCAAAAUGCAUGUGCAACUGGCAUUCCUUUGCACCCACUGUUUCCUCUGUGUGCAAUGAUAAAGGCAGCUAAAAGAAGUUGAUGUAGGAUUUGCACUCUGACCUUAUAGAACCCUCAUCAGCAACGACUACCCAAGAAGACCCAUGGGCUGGAGGAUUAUUGCUUGAGUGGUGCAAAGGUGUCAUCAGCUAGGAGCAGGAGGGAAUCCCCAACAAAUGGUGGAUGCAACAACAUGCUGUUACCGCACAUGACCUCAUACUGCUGCUGCUGCUGCUACUACCGCUACUACUGCUGCUUCUUGCUGCUGCUGCUACUCCUCCCUCUCCUCCUCUCCUCCUCCCCCUCCUCCUCCUACUACUACUACUACCCAUGAUGACUGUCAUCACAAAAUGACUGAAAUUAAUUGUGGAGACUGUAAGGAAGUUCUCACAGAAAACAUGAACAUGUUCUGCAUGGCUGUACACUUUGUUCCCUGGCGGCUCUUGAUACUCAGUCAAAUGGCCACAUAGAAGUUCCAUCAUUGGUUUCAACUGUUGAAUACACUGCAGGAAUGGCAACACACACACACACACACACACACAGUUUUAGACUUUAGCAAACUUGAUAUCAUCACUUAAUAUUCAUAGGUUCUUUUGAUUUCGAUCCUUUUCACUUACACUCCCUAAGCAUCUUUUGCUAAGUUUCCGUAGCAUAAAACUAGUCUCCACUGUACAAUAGUAUAAAAUAUAUUAUUUAAAAAUCAUUUCCUAAUACACAAGUUUAUACGAAUGUUGAAUAGUUGGGGGCCCCAGCCCUCCCCUUACUCUAAAAAAACCUGCCUUUAGAAAAUUUGCACUGCACACCUUCCUUAUUGAUUGAGACAAGUAAUAAAGACAAUUUGUUAAACUACCUGGUAAUGUUUUUUCCAUGUUUAGACAUUAGUGGUGGAAAAACAGGUUUCAAUUACUUUGAACACGUGUGAAAUUGCUUUAAUCUAUCUGCUUUAUCGGUUGAUCUGUCUAUCCAUACCUACUUAUCUAUGAAAUAGCCGACAGUCUCCAGGGACUCAUCUUCAUAAUAAAGCAUUGUAAAAAGUAUUUUAAAUUAAUAAUUCAUUCAUAAUUCAGAAUAUAACCUGAGAUUGAUAAUCACUUUGAGUUCUCUUUAGAGGAUAAUAAUAAUAAUAAUAAUAAUAAUAAUAGUAAUAAUAAUAAUGAUAAUAAUAAUAGUAAUAAUCUCUCAAAUGUAAGUAAUGGAAAAUGGAUGAAUGGAUAGACAGACGGACGGAUGGAUGAAUGGAUGGAUGGGUGGAUGGAUGGAUGGAUGGAUGGAUGGGUGGAUGGAUGGAUGGCUGGAUGGAUGGAUGGGUGGAUGGAUGGGUGGGUGGAUGGAUGGAUGGAUGGAUGGAUGGAUGGAUGGAUGGAUGGAUGGAUGGAUGGAUGGAUGGAUGGAUGGAUGGAUGGAUGGAUGGGUAUAUGAAUGAAGAGAUUGAGGAAUGAAAACAUAAAUGGACAGAUAGAUGAAUGGAUAGAUACAUAGAUACAUACAUAGACAAAUAGACAGACAGAUAGACAGAAAGAUAGAUACAUACAGAUGUAGAUGGAUGUGUGUGUGUGUGUGUGUGUAUAAAAAGAGAGAGAGAUCAAUUUGAUCUGGAACUGGAUAGAUAAUUCAGUUGUUUAAAUGAAGUUUGUGUGAAAGUGUCUUUCCUAUUAAUUCCUUAGGGAAUCUAAUAUCUAAAGUUUCAAGUUUUAAACAAUUUAGAAUAUAUUGGAAUUGGUUGUGUAUGAAGAGUUCUAAUAUGACACUCCACGAAGAAAAAUAAAAGAAUAAUUUACAAAUAUUUUAUACAAUAAACUAAAAUAUUCUCAAUUUAACUUGUUAUCUGAUUACACUAUAUUGUAAAUUAAAUUUUACUUUAAGAAAAUUAGAUUUGCAUUUUAUUUUUCUAUUAUAUUUUUGAUGGAAAAUAAGCUAUUAAGAUUUUAAAACCAAAACCAAACCCACCAGCUAUAGAAAAGAUGUAAGUUUACUUUUAAAUCUUGAUUUACCACUAUUAAAUAAAUAAAGAGGAGCAGAGAGCUGAGGAGGUAAGUUGGUGAGCUGCUUGAGUUCAAAGCUUGUGAGUUCAAAGCUUGUGAGUUCAAAUCCUAGCUAUUUAGCUUUGUGGCAUUAAACUAACUAUUAGAAAAGUAAUGGUAAAAUCCUUUAAGAGGAUAAAUUCCAUCAACUAUUUAUGGAUGUAUGUAUGAUGCAUGCAUGUAUGUUUGUCUUUGAUGAAAAUGUUUGUAAAUAUUUACAGAUAGAACUUCAAAACGUUCUCCAACUCCAACGCUUGUUGAAAACCUAUCUUUGAAAUUUAAACUAGAACUUAUCACCCUUUAUUUUAGGUUCCAAAACUCUCUUUGUUCUUUUCCUUCAUAUCUCUUAUCAUCCCAUCUUGUCUCUUUUAUCCUUCUCUCCUUCUUCUUCUUAUCUCCUCCUUACUUUUCUUCCCUACCCCUUUUUCUCUAUCAUUCCAUCUUGGUGUUUUUCUGUCUUAACACCAGUUUUUUGUGCUUCUCUUUUCUCCCCUCAACUUCUUUGCCCCUUACCUUUCCCUUUCUUGCCUAUUUUCUCUCCCUAUUUACACCCCUUCCUGUCUUGGUCCCUGCCUCUCCCCCUUCCCACUCUUUACAGCUCUUCACUCUUUUCCUAGUCCUUGCUUCUCUCUUUUCUCUUCCUUCCUUGUCUCUCUCGCCUCUUCUAAUUGGUUAUAUUUGAACACAUGGUCAUUAAGGUCAUCCUUUCCAUCACCAUAACUACACAGCCAACAUACAUUUAUUAUAGUUAUCUCUUUUUUUUUACCAUCUCAUAUAUAUAUAUACAUAUAUAUAUAUACACACAUAAGCUUCCUUUUUGUUAGGUUUUAAUGAACUUCUUUGAUAGUAAACUUUCCUUCUAUCCCUUAGCAAUCUUUUGUUUUGAUUCUGUCUCUAUUAAGAUUCAUAAUUGUUAAAUAAUGACUUUGGUAUUUCAUUGCCAAAAUAUAUUUCCAGCAAAAUUCAGAUAAAUUCCUCUUUAUGAAUGCAACAUGUUUUUAAACAGAAACAAAUAAAACAUCAAACAACAUACAAAGCUCUCGAAUUUGGCUUCUUUCCAAAUUGGAAAUAUUAUUCACAAAAUAUAAGACUAAAUUAGAAGGAUGGUAAAUUUUUGACUUUUCCUUCUCUAUAUUCUUCAGUAAAAGAAAAUUCAAUCCUUUAAUCGGAAUUGGCAUAACAGUAAACCGUUAAAGCAAUACAACCUGAUCCUCCCAAGUUUUCACUACAAUUUGUUUAUAGUCAAUGUUUAUGGCUACAGAAGAACCAUAAUUUGUUCUCUUGUUGCGUUUGUAAUUUUUGAUCGUAUGACAUUGGUAAUGCAUUCCUUUCUCAUUUUCUCUUGACCUUCUACUCCAUUCCAUUCCUCUUGAGGUUUCCUCAAUGCAGUAGAAUGUCUUAUUUUUCCGUUCUGCUCCUUUGACCAAUAUAUUUAUCAAUUCUCAAUGACUUAACCAUUAUCAAUUUGAUGAUAACCAGUUGCUUGUUCAUUAGGCACCCCACAGGAAUAUCUUUAUUAUUUAUUUGAAUGAUUGCCCUGAGCUACUCAAAUGUCUUUAGGUAAUAUCGUUUUAGACAUAUUGCCAUACAUGCAUUUCUUCAUCUGGCUGCUUCUGUCUGUGCUUAUAAAACUGUGUAUGUGUGAGAGAGAGAAACUGUUUCGCUUUAUGUGUUUAUGCAUUUCACUACAUAUGUAUUUCUGCAUAUAAGUAAGUUAGUGAGCAUUUAUGUGUGUCUGUGGGUGUGUAUAUGUAAGUACAGAGUAUAAUUUACUUAGACCUCCUGCCUACUGUUACAAGAUAACCAAGAGAGACAAAAGUUGCCAUUUAUUUCUAGAGUAACCCUACUUAUUUCUCAGUAACAUUCAAUUGAUACUUGCUCUCCAACUAUUUACACAAUGAAGACACCAGACUAGCAUUUAAAGGGUUAAUUUGUCCCUUCACUUUUCCUCAAACUCAUAGCAACCCUGUUUCUAAUGAAACAGUCUACAUUUCAAUUAAUUUUUGAAAAUAAUCAAGAAUUUGGAGGGAUUUAGUAAAAUAACUGGUUUUCCUAAUAUUAAGCUGGUGUUUGGAACCCAGAUCCUCAUAACAAUUCAGAAGGUUUUAAUUUUAGUUACAGACACUUGAAAACCACUAGUUUUUGUAUUUCAUAGAAGAUGCAGCUAUUCCAGGUGGGUUAAUAAAUUAUCAUUUCUGUAAUUAAAUCAAUUGUAUUUUGUUUUGUAUAAUGAUUUCACUCCCACCUUGUGUUUCCUCCUCCUCUUCUCUCCCACUUUUCAGACAUUACUCUUCAUUAUCCUCAUCUGCUAAGACUGAGACACUCCUUCACACUAAUCACCCACAAGCUAUCUUUUACACUUCAAAUAUAUGUGCUGCUUUUUCAUCAAAGGAAAUUUGCAUUCCUCUUUGAAGAAAUAUUAAUGUAAAUUAUUAUUAUUAUUAUAUAUAUUUUUUUGUUCAUUUUACACGUCUAGAAUGUUCUCUCAUAAACCAAACAGACUUCUAGAGCCAAAGGAAAUUAUAUCUAUUUUACAUAGAACUGAAUUGGUGAGAGAAAGGCAGCUUUCUCAAGAAGCAAUGAUGCUUAACAACUGUACUUUAAUUACUUAUAUUAUAGGUUAAUUAGCUGCCUGGAAAGAAUAAACAUUGUUGUUGUUAUUUCAUUUGUUAUUAGUGACACCAAGAAAGCAAAAUAAAAGAGAAAUUUCUAUUCUAGCAGCUUGCUUAUUAGGUUACGAAAAACACCUUGUUUUAUCACAUAUAUAUCAUGAUUGUUAUCACACAGAAUAAUAUUCUAUUUUUUGUUGAAAUAAAGGAAUGAUGUACAAGUGUGGUUACCUUCUUGCCUUAUCUAGGUUUUGGGUAGGAUUUGAACUCUGAAAUCCUUUUCAUACACAGUUCUCUUACAGCUAGGUGGACUGGGCAAAUGAGAGUCAAAUUUCUUUGUUAAGGGACUAGUACAGUGCUGGUGAUAGGAAAUGAACCAGCCAUCCUUUGGCUUGUAGGUCAACACCCAUCUCUAUGAAUUCAACCACUGUGUCUCUUUAAUCUCAUAUUUGAACUAUAUCCUUCUGGUAAUACAAUUAAAAAAAUUAAUAAUGUCUGUAAGUUCAUUUUGUUGAGUCAAUUAGUCUACCCAUCACCACUUAUCAUUUUUAAUUUAAAAGUUUGUGACUGCAGCAGUCAAUUGAGGGAAACAAUUCUCUCUUUUUCUCAUAAAUAAUUCCAAAUACGCUGAACAGUGCUCCCAGCCCCUGCAUGGCUUUUGAAGUCUUAUCUGGUUUCGGGUAGUUUUAAAUGAUUUUUGGUGUAACAGCUGUUUAACCUGUCUUCAGCAACAUUAAAUGAAACAGCACACAUUUCAAAAGAUAUCCUUGUCGUCACCUCCGUCAUCAUCAUCAUCAUCAUCAUCACCAUCACCAUCAUCAUCAUCAUCACUGUUGUCAUUGUUGCCAUCUUUUUGUGUGGACCUUUAAUAUUCUCAGAUUUGAUGUCAGCUUCCUUCUUGUGUUUUCUCCAUACUUCUUUUGGCUCUGGGAUCUUUCUGUAUCCAUUAUCCAGACUGUAGAGCAUGGCAUCCUCUCAAAUGUCUUUUUUCAAGCUGACAAUCUUAGAGUAAAAUUACUUGCUUUUUACUCAGGACUUCUCUGACAAAAGUUCUCUUUUUGAGGAUUCAACUUAUUUCCUUUUAAUUCUUUUUCUAGGUCUUUGCAUAUUUGUUCAUCAGACGUUCAACACCUUCUUCUUGCUUUCCCAUUCACCCUUCCAGGAUUGUUAAGACAAAACGUCUAAUAUUAUAUGCUGUAUUUAUUUUGUUACACCAACUCAUGGUUUCAACAUAUCAAAGGCAGAGAGCAUUCCCCUAAAUGUGGGUAACCAUGUACCUCCAAAUACAAGAACCACAGUCAGUUUUAAAACCCCAUUAGUAAAGUUUCUAAAAACCCCUCUGAAAUAUAUUAUUGAAGCCCAAAGACCCAGACAGUAAUUUGAUAGAAGCUGAAUAACUGUAAUUUUUGUAAUUUUAUGAUUUAUUAUUUUCAUGAGCACAGAUGCCCUCACAUAUGUUAUACACAUGUAAUUCACCCCUGUUACUAAAAAGACUCCCCGUCUCUGCCAUAUUAGAUAAUAUUGGCAAUUAACAACACCACUAUCAUUAUUAUUGCUACCAUGUAAUGUUAACUCACACACACUCACACACUGAUGUAUUAAGCCAUUAAUCCUACAAACCUAUAUAAGUAGAUAUUGAAAGUGAGUUUUCUUUUGUAUUAUCCUCUUCAUAUUUUGUUUCGGCAUCAUAGGAAAUGGAGUAAAUAUGAAACUGUCCCAUAGUGGAUAUCAUAACUGAUCAAUAUUUAUAUUUAGAUGAUUUACCAAACCAAUAGAUCAGAAUUGGCUGCUCUGUAUUUCAGCAAGUUCUGACUUUCGUCUUAGAACCAUCUGGUAAUCUGGCAGUGAAAUUAAAGUUGAUAUCUGUUGAAGUGAAAUAAUCAAUGCUUCUUUCAUCUAAGGCGAGCAAAUGAACAGCAUUUCUAACCAAAUGAAAAUGCUCACGUCCUGCUUUGAUCAUGAUGAUGAUGAUGAUGAUCAUGAUGAAAAGACAUUAGUUAAUGUUUAUACAUUCUCUGUGUGUGAUGGUUUUUGACUCAACAUCAUUUAGUGAUAAUGUUGUAUGUCAAAGUGUUUUGGGGGUUUUUUUUUAAUGUUUAUAGUUGUUUACAUUCACACAUACACAGAUACAUAUGCAACUCAUAAAGUUAAUCCCCAAUGUAAUAUUUAGACAUGAAGAAAACAUUAUGCUUUAUAUAUACUGCUUACAAGAUCUGUGUGAGUGUAUGUAUGAUGUAUAUAUAUAUAUAUAUAAUGUACAUGUGCAUAGAUAUCCAAAUAUAUACAGCCUAGAUGCUGAUGUUUAUAUAAAUUAUAAAGUUUUUAUAUAAAUAUAUAUGAUAUUGUUUUUUGCAAUCUUCCAUGAAAACAUGCCCGACCAUUGUGCUGUUUGUUGUUCUUCAGAACCAGGGGAAAUAUUACCUUGCUGGGAAACAAGUGAGGGUUGGUAACUGGGAGAGUGCCCUGCCAUAGAAAAUCUGGCCUCACAAAUUUCGCCUGACUCAUACAAGUAUGGGGAAGUGGGCAAUAAAUGGAUGAUGAUGAUGAUGAUGGUGUACACACACACACACACACACUCGCACACAUGUUGAUACCAGUAUGUUUACGUUAGCUCUUGAUAACAUGUUUAUGCUCUCCGCUGCUGAAAGCCUAUUUAUUUUAACUUUAUUGUGAUAAUGCAUUGAUGUCAAUAUGUUUAUAUUAACUGUUGAAAACAUCAUGUUUAUGCUUAACCAUUUAUGUAAACUGUUGAGAACUGUCUGUUUAAUUUAGCUUAUCUCUUGUCGGCAGUGUGUUUGUCUGCAUUAGUUAUUGAUGAUAGUGUAUUUGUAUUAAGUGUUGACAACAGAUUUAGUUAUGCAUUAACUGUUGACGACAACAGGGGUUCUGUUAGCCGUUGACAAUAACAGGGGUUUGUGUUAACGGUUUAUAAUAACAGGGGUUUGUGUUACCUUGACAACUACAAGCUUCUGUUUGUAGUUGACGACGGUAAGUUAUGUUAACUAUUAAUGAUGGUAAAUUUAUUAUUAGCUGUUAACGACAGCGUGUGUGUGUGUGUGUGUGUGUGUGUUUUAGUUAGUGUUGUGUGUUUAUCCAGUGAUUGUGUUUAGUAAUGUGAUAGAUUACAUUAUCUCGUUAAUAUGGCCAGGUUUUUGUGAGCAGUCUAUCUUAUUAGGCUUUUAUUCAUGAAGUGUAUUUGUAGCUGUACCAGUUUCCAUCUAACUUUGUAUAUUACCAUAUUUUCUCCAAGUCUACAGAAUCCCCUCUCUCUCUCCCUCUCUCUCUCUCUCUCUCUCUCUCUCUCCCCCCUCUCUUUCUCUCACAAGUGCUGUUAUCGAUCUCCAUAUAAAAUAACCUGUCUCGUUCACUUCUAUCCUGCUCUAUUGAUCAACUUUUACUAAAUAUCCUUUUGAAUAUUCAAAACCACUUUCUCUCUCACAACUGGCUUCAACUAUUUUCCUUAAUUUCCUCAGCUCUUUCUUUAUACUCCUCUCUAAUUUCUAUGCAUUUUCUCGACUAGAAGAAUUUUAUUGAAGCUUCUCACUGUGUUAUUGUCUGUUUUCGUAUUCUUCCUCACACCUGGCUACAUUCAAAUUCUCAAAUAGAAAUCAGUUCUUAAUGUUUGUAUAGUGCCUUUAAUCUUUAUGAUCUUUUACUGUGACAAUAUAUUGACGAGCAAAAGUUCAUUUUCAUUUCACAUUAAUCUUGUUAGUUUUUAACUACCGUUGCCUUCCAGUCACAGAAAUUCUGUUAUUCCUAUCACUGGCAUCAACCUUCUUUAUUAUUUGUAGGCGUUAAAACUUAAAAGUCUUGUUAGCUUAACUUUUUGCCAAGAAAUCAAUAUUAUUCACAUGAAGCUUUCAUCAAUAUCACACUUUUGUUGUCAACUCCCCCCCCCCCAAAUCCUAUAAAGACAAACAGUUUUUCAGAUUCAUGAAAUGAAAUUGAAAAACAAAUCCAUUAAUUAUAAAUAGCUAACUUGCAAAAUAACUUCACUGAAUGAAGCAAAAUUAUAAAACAAAUAGGUUUUUUUUAAAUCUAAAAGUUAUAUAUACAUACAUAUAUAUAUAUAUAUAUAUAUAUAUAUAUAUAUAUAUAUUUAUAUACAUACAAAACAAGGUUUGAAAUAUUAGCAUCCAAUUUGGUGUGUGUGUGUGUGUAUAUAUGCACACACACACACACACACACACGCACACAUAUAAAACAAAUUUCUAGUAUCCAUUUUGGUAGACACAGACACACUUAUAGUAUGUUUUUUAAUAUAUAUAUAUAUAUAUAUAUAUAUAAUUGUUUUUUGCUCUCUAAUGUAACAUGCUUAAAACAAAAUUUCCCUAUCUAAUAGAAUUAACCUUUUACAUUCUUCAGUGAUUCCAUAGCAUUAAGUUCGAUAUAGGUGAAGGCCUAUAUUUGUUUAUUUUUUUGUUAACAAAUCUUUGAAUCUCAUCUCACACUGGCAUGUACCAAAAAAAGAAAAAGGAAGGUGGAAUGGAAUCUCGACUCUAAACUGUUAUUGAAUCUCUUUCAGUCUGCUCUGAAAUCUCUUAUUCUUUCAACAACCAACAAUGGAAUUCUGUUAUUCCAUGCCCUGUACUAGUCAACUAUGUUAGUUACUAUAUUGAUUGCAGAAAAUUAUUUCCUCCCAUCUUAAUAUGUUACAUAAUCAGUUAAGGUCACUUGGAUUUCCUUUUCACUUAAUCCUUUGUUGUCAAGUUAAGGAAAUAAAACAACCAAAUCAAUAUUCAUUCUGAACACACCAUUGCUCGUUGCUAGUGAUAGGAUGUAGGGAGCUUCAGUUAAUGGCUGCUUUCUUUUGUUUUUAGUAUUACAUAUAUGGGUUUAAACACUAUAACUGUUAUUUUGUUUAAUGUUGCAAGCAAUGUACUGGGGAUUGGGAGGGGGAGGGGCGGUAGUGGACUUCAGUGUCUACCUCGAUAGUUUAUUGUGGCUUUUUGCAGAAGACUCAAAGGCUGCUGCAAAAAAAGCUGAUAGCAGCAUCUGAGACGUGCUUGGUGGUAACUGGUGGUACCAGAGGCAAAUUUGCCAGCCUCGACUGUCUGCCCUUCAAACUUGACAUACGCAUGUUAGAACUGUUUGUUAUUGUCUUGGCAGACAUCUACUGCAGUUGUCAGCCGAAUCAGAGAAUUCCAAGUUCUAUGAGGUGGGGAGCGGAAGUGAUGCUGAAGAGGGUCUGUAACUCUGUUGGCUGCAGAAUUUAAGAUUUUGGCCAAGGUGCUGGCAAAGAGGUUGGUGCUUGUUGUUGUUAGUGUAAUUGAGAAAACAAACUGAGAUUUACCAGGGGAUCUGAUCAAUUUGGAUCAAUCAGAAAUCUGUCAGUGGGGUUGAUUAUUGCUAUUUGGUAGUUAUCUUCAAAUCCUGUUGAGGUUAACUCGGUCUUUCAUCCUUAUAAGGUCAAUAAAAUAAAGUACCAGUAAAGUACUGGGGUUGAUGGUAUUGACUAAAACCCCUCCCCUCGAAAUUGCUCACCUUGUACCUGAAUUAGAAACCAAAGGAUGGCAAACUGGCAGUCGUUAGCACAUCAGACAAAAUGCUUACAGUAUUUCUUCUGACUCUUUAUGUUCUGGGUUCAAACCCCAACAGAGUUGACUAAGCAAACCUCCUGUUUCCAGGUACUUGCCUGAUGAUAUGGAGAAAACAAUCUGUCAACUGAUCCCUAGGCUUCAUAAGAAUUAUUCUGGGAUUCAUAAGAGUGGGAUUUCAAUGAAGAAUUUUUUACACUUGGUAUUCAGUGUUCCAAAGUCUAUACCAUUAGCUCAUUUGAGUUAUUUCCCUUAGCUCAUUUUACCUGCUAUCUAAAUGGCUGUCCUCCAGCACACAUAUGAAGUUGUGCCUUAAACCAUGGCUCUUUAAUUCCCCCAGCUUCUCUUGCUUUGAUAUCUUUCUUAAUCCUCCUCCGUCACCUUCAAUGUCAUCUCACCAACCACUCAGUUACAUCGGGACACAGUAAAUAUUAAUUGUUAAUAGGAAAAUUAUCAAUUUAUUACCAUUUAAGUUUUUUUCUUUCUUGGUUUUUGUUCUUGGAAACCAUAAUUUCAGGAUUAAUUAAUUGAAAAUGCUUUUACUCCCCAAAUCACAUUUUAAAUAUAUUUUGGAAACCAUAAAAAAAAAAAAUGAUUUUAAUUGGUUGUCAAUUUUCUAUUUGAAGAGUUGUGUGGUUAAAAAGACAAUAAGCUAAUACAUAACUCUGGCAGUCAUUAUUCGUCUUUGCUAUGAAUAUUCUUCUCCUUUCUGCAUCAGCUUCAAAGAAAUUAUAUAAAUCCAUUGAUGGAAAUGUAGUUUCUGGUUGUUUGAAAACUCAAAAACUUUAAAUAUGCUGCUGCUGUGACUGCUACUGCUACUGCUGCUGUGGCUACUCUGUAAUUUAUUUUUCCCUCGACUGAAUGAAAAGUUAGGACUUUAUCCAGUGACCAGACCCAACCACUCAAAAUUUCCUUACCCUUAACAGCAGAAAGCAGUUAUAUAUAUAUAUAUGGCCGAUGCCAGCGCCGCCUCGACUGGCUUCCAUGCCGGUGGCACGUAAAAUACACCAAUCCGUUCAUGGCCGUUUGCCAGCUCUGUCUGGCACCUGUGCAGGUGGCACGUAAAAAGCACCCACUACACUCACGGAGUGGUUGGCGUUAGGAAGGACAUCCAGCCGUAGAAACACUGCCAGAUCUGACUGGGCCUGAUGAAGCCUUCCAGCUUCACAGACCCCAGUUGAACCGUCCAACCCAUGCUAGCAUGGAGAACGGACGCUAAAUGAUGAUGAUGAUGAUAUAUAUAUAUAUAUAUAUAUACAUACAUAUACCAAUCACUCUUUUGUGGAUCUGUCAAGUUUACUGAGGCAGCAUGACUUGUAGAAAAUACCAAUUCUAUUUUCUGGUACGUAUCUAACAUCUUUACUUGUAGCUUUUAUGGUUUAUUUUUCACUUAUUUUAAUCAUUAGACUGUGGCCACGCUGGGGCACUGCCUUGAAGUUUUUAGUUGAAAGACGCAAUCCCAGUACUUUUUGUUUUAAAGCCUGGUAUUUGUUCUAAUGGCCUUUUUUUGCCAAACUGCUAAGUUAUGGGAAUGUAAACACACCAACACCAGUUGUCAAGCAGUGGUGAGAGAACAAACACAAAUACAUACACACACCAACACCCACACACAUACACUGACACCCACACACAUGCACACACUGUCACCCACACAUAUACACGCUGACACCAACAUAUAUACACACACCGACACCCACAGAUACACCCCCCACACACACACAUAUAUACAUGAUGGGCUUCUUUUAGUUUUUGUCUAUCAAAUCCACUCACAAGGCUUUAGUUGACCCAAGGCUGUGAUAGAAGACACUUGCCCAGGGUACCGCCAUGAAAUUUAACAGUUAAAGGGUCAAAAUAUUUUCUAAUAUUUACACCACCAACCAAAUAUAGACAUUUAUUUACAUGGUAGCAUAUAUUAGACAUGCUUGGAGAAUUGCCUCCUUUUAAUUAUCCUUAAACCAAGCUAUUUCCCUUGUGAAUUCAAAAAAAUCGAUGCCAACUGCGUGGCCCCAUUUUUGUUAUGUUUAAUUAUCUAUGAACUACUUAUUUGUGCUUCUGAGAUGUGUUGGAACUGGCAGAGGGGGAGGAGCAUCCGUGAAUCAAUAUAUAUUUUUAUUGGAAGUCACUCCCCGACAAAGCAACAAGCUGCUAACAAUAAAACAACUCUCAAACAACCACUUUUUUCGUUGGAAGUUACAAAAGAAAAAGAAGAAAAAACAAAAAGCUAAAGAAACAAUAAAUAAAGUCUAAUGAUGAGAUGUCUUAAAAACCAUCAAGUAAUUAUAAAAGAUUAAAAGCAAGUUAAGUUUAUUUUCAUAUGGGGGAAGGCAUAGAUGUGCAGUCAGACGUUUAAGUUUGCUUCCAAAUCAAAUGGUUCUGGGUUCAGUCCCACACUGUGGCCCUUGGGCUUGUGUCUUCUACUAUAGCUUUGGGCUGACCAAGGUUUUGGGAGUGGAUUUAGUAGAUGGAAACUGAAAGAAGCCUGUCACAUGCACACACACACACAUGCAUAUAUAUAUAUAUAUAUAUAUAUAUAUAUAUAUAUAUAUACACGAGUGUGUGUCUGUGUUUGUCUUCUACCACUUGAUAACUGGUGUUGGUAUGUUUACAUCCUGGUAACUUAGCGGUUUGGCCAAAGAGGCUGAUAGAAUAAGCAGCAGGAUAAAAAGACAAAAAAAAAGUAAAUACUGGAGCCUCAUCUGUUUCUUUUGAAAUUCUUCAAGGUGGAACCACAAUAUGUCUGCAGUGUAAUGGCUGAAACAGGUAAAAGGUAAACCAAGAUGACGGAACAUAGAUUUAAUAAGACAGUCGUUGGUGGACAGGAACUUUGAGAGUGGGAACUUUUAUUAGAAAGUCAACAACAAUAAAAAGGUUUAUAACUGGCAGAUGACCAUUGGUCAGCUACAAUAAAGCAGUAUGUUGCACAAAAUGCUUAGUAGCAUUUCUUUUGGCUCUUUACAUUCUGAGUUCAAAUCCUGCCAAGGUCAGCUUUACCUUUGAUCCCUUCAGGGCUGAUAAAAGAAAUUGCAAGUCUAGUGCUAAGGGUGGUCUAGCUGAUUUAUCCCCUCCCCUCAAAACUUAUUGGCCAUGAACCUUGCAAUAGACUGGUGUCCCAUUCAGGGGCAAUGUUGUGAUCUCAGUCAAUGGAAACUGAGUAAUCAGCCUCAUGAGACCAAGAGCUCAAGCAAAAGAAAAAGAAAACAAAAUUAAAAGCCAUGAUUAGAUUUUGUGUUUUGUGUGUGUGUAAAACAUCAAAGUGCUUAAUAAAUAUUUAAACACUGCCAGAGAGACUUGUACAGCAUAGUAAUGAGAGAGAGAGGGAGAGACAGAGAGAGACAGAGAGAGAGAGAGAGAGAGAGACAGAGAGAGACAGAGAGAGAGAGAGAGAGAGCACCUGAAGAUGGCUGGAGAUUUAGUGUAGGUAAAAUUAAAGUCUAGUUUAGGAAAACACAAUGGUGGUUGUGUAUGAUCAAUAACUCAAAUGAAUUGGUAGUUACCCCUUUUUUCUCAGCUCAGAACAUUCCUUCAUAAAAGUCUUCUUGUCUGCUUUCAUUAUUUAUUCAUAUCACAUGAGGGUUUUUUUUCUUUUUUCUGUCACGAUAUAUCAUAGAGUAUUUCAUAUUUCUAGACAUAUUACCUUUCUAGAAAUAAUCUAUUUCACAGAUCACACUCUCACCAAUAGAUCAUAUUCGUUAACAACAAUCACACAACCACUACUUUCAUUAUCCAUGUUUCAGGGCCAUAAAUUAUCACAUAUUUCUCAAGUAUACUGUCAUCGUCAUGGUAAUCAACAUUGGUUUUCCUUUUUUAGUUUUUAUUCUUAAAUUUUUCUUCUUUUGCUAUGCUAGCAUGGGUUGGAUGAGACAUUUUUGGGUCAGUAUUCUCUGACCAGAUGCCUUUCUUGACUCUAACCCUUACUUUCAAGUUUGGGUACUUUAUUCUGCUGGUCUUCACACACUGAAACUGUUGGGCUGCAGGACAUUCCGCUUGUGUGGAAUGUAAAUGAAUGCUAACAUGGGGCAAGUCGCAUUCAUGUAAAAACAUGUGUAUAUACAUACAUACUUAAACAUAGAAACACACAUACACAUAUAUAUAUAUACAUACACAUACAUAAGUGUUGUAUAACCAUAGGUAAUUAUACACUAAGUGGAAAACCAGCAAGUGGUUUCUUUGCCUGCUGAAAUAAGCUGUCAGAUCUUCAAACCAUGAAAAAUACAUUCUCAUACGUAGUGUGUUGCAUGUAACCAGGCUAGACAAUUUGAAAAAAUUUUAAAAACCAGUUAUUUCUAUACCUCAAAGUUUCACCAUUAAUAAUUAAACAAUUUUUUGUGGUUUGAAGAUCUGACAUAUAUAUAUAUGUACAUAUAUAUAUAUGUGUGUGUGUGUGUCUGUGUUUGUCCCCCACCACUGCUUGACUACUGUUGUUGGUUUAUGUCCCCAUAAACAUAACUUAGCAGUUCAGCAUAAAAGACCAAUAAAAUAAGUAUCAGGUUUAAAAAUUAGUGCUGGGGUCGAUGACCUCAGCUAAAAACUGUUCACGGUUGUGCUGCAACAUGGCUGCAGUGUAAUGACUGAAACCAGUAAAAGAUGCUGACAAUCUCAUUUAUACUAUGACCAGCUGUUCUGUGUUUUCAAAGAGAUGGAGAAUUUUUAUUUAAAGAACUCUCUUAGAAUUUCAUCUGAGUGGGCAGGGGCUUCACAAAAUGAAGUGCCUUGCACUAUAGCACUGUUCCAUCUGGGGACUGAAAUCACAACCUGAUUAUUGUGAGCCCAAUAGUAGAGCACAUACAUUUUGAAGAAGAGUGUACUACUUUGAUUUUACAGUAGAUUGGUUAGCAGUGCGUAUGGCACCAAAUGGAGAAAAAACUGACUCCAACAAUUCACUUGGAAAUAUCUGUUUGCUAAAGGAAAUAAAAGCUGAAACUGUGUAACAUUUUCUAAUCUGGGAAAUUGGAUAUGAAAUGUUGUGGAGAAAAAUAAAGAUGGAAUUCUUGAAUGUUUUUUUUUUCAUAAUUUAUUUUUCUUUUUUUACCUUAAAAAGGGGUUUUCUACUUAUUUAUCUCAAACAUGUUUUAGUUGAAUUGUUCUGAAAAUAUUGAAUAUUUUCUUGGAAUCGUUGAAGUGAAAAAGAUCUCUUUUUUUUUGUUCUUCUUGAUUCUGACUGUUCAACUGUAAAGUUUACCUUCCACCAUUCCCAACAAAGUUGGUUCAUACAAAACAGGGGGUUGUGUUAACUGGUCCACCAGGAAUAUUUAUUUGUAAGGCUUCCCUAGAAACAAACUUUGAACUAACCCCUUCAGUGUAUUAACCACUUCAUGAACAUUCUCCUCAAUAUUUCUAAAGUCACCUUCUGUUAUCUUUGCAUUCUCGUUGGUUUCUCAAAGCAGAGCUUGCCUAUGUAUUUAUGUAAAUAUCUCAUAAUUAAUUUUCAUGUUGCAUUUUUAAGUAAAAGAAAGUCUAACACCUGCAGCUGUUUCACUAAGUAAAAUUUUGAUUCAGCAAACAACGUUAUUUUGAUGAAGAAAGUCGGGAAAACAGCAGAAAUAUAUAAAAAAAAAAGAGACUUAUUUAUGAACAUUUAAUUUUCAGUGUUGUCGUAAAUGACUUUUUUUGUUUUCUUCUUUUCAAUGAAAUGAUAACGAAGAGCAAAAUAUUUUGUUCUCCUACAUCGAGAAAUAGAACAGAAGAAAAACAUUUAAUAAUUCAUAAUUCUCUUCUAUCAAUGGAAAAUUCACAGGAAUCUGAUGUAUUGAUGAAGUUGUUUCUAGUUCAUAGAAAUUGGGACUUUGCUCUCACUCUACAAACAAACAACUCUCGGUGAAAGUUUCCUUUUUAUUUCAUAGAAGAUUUUCAUCAGUUUAUUUGGAAAGAUAAAUGUUACGCUUGGUUGCAAACAAUUUUGAUCGUGUUUAUCAUAGAUAAGACAUUAUUAAGUUACCUUUUUUUUUAUCAUUUAUAAAUAUAUAUUUUUUCUGGUCAGAAGCACUUUGCUUUAUUUCUUCUCUAGUUUACCUUUUUUUUUUUUAUCUUUCUUUUUUAUCUUCAACUUUUGGUCAGUCAUAGCUAUCAUUAUUGUUGUUAUUGUUUUGUCAUGACUACUGUCCACUCUGGUCUUGAUUGAACGCCAAUAAAAUCUCCAUAUUUUAUCUCGUCUCUAUAAAAUAUCCGACAAUCAUCCUGUCAACUCGUGAACACUAUACAACUAAACUACUCAAAGUAUUCCUCCUAAUGUUAUCUCUUUUAUUUUUUAAAUAUCUUUCUCUAUCUAUUUAUUUAAUACUUACUUUAAUAACUAAGUGGAUUACACUGAGUGAAGACAGCAACUAACGACUAAUUGAAUUAAUAGUCAUUAGCUCUAUUGAUCCUCUUAGAUUGUUUUCAACAUUGCUAUCACCCAUAGCUUGACCAGCACUUUCACUUAUGUAAAUUUUUGUUCAUCCAAUUGUUUUUGCUUUUUUUAUGUAAUUUAAUUUUUUUUUUUAACCUAAUCUAUUUGCUAGAAAGCCGGAGAUGUCUGUGAUGAUGUAAUUAUGGGAUUAAGUGAGUUAGUACUGUUGAUAUUUUUCCUCAACACUUUAAGUAUUAAUUUGAAAGUUAUUCAUUACAGAGAAAACAACAACCAACAAUGUUUUUAGGUGAAGUCUAUAAUUGUUACAACCGUAUGUAUAUAUAUAUACAUGGUUAUAUAAUUAUAUGUGUAUAUAUAUAUAUAUAUACAUAUAUAUAUAUAUGUGUGUGUAUAUAUAUAUAUCACCACUUAUUUAAUGUGAGCAAACUACGAAACUUUUGUACUUGUGUGAUUAUCUAUUUCCAAAACAAAUCCUGCCAAAUAGAUUUAAAAAAUUUUUUUUUUUUUUUUUAUUAAAAAUACUUUGUGAUCUCUAAGACAAAAACCAAAACAAAAAAAAGAAAUUUUAUUUGAUUAAUUCAAAAGGAUUUAUUUGAAUAUUCAUGUUAAAGUCUGAUAUUUUGUAAUGAAAUCUAUUUUAUUAGUGAAUGUCUGUAAUCUGGUUAAUGUCAAACUGGACACUCAAAAUGAGACGUAGAUAAUGUGAUUUUUUUUUGUGUUCAACUUGCAUUAUUAAUAUUGAAAGCAAUAAUAAUCUUUCUCAAUUCAUUUUUACAUAUUUCCCCAUAGCAUUUAUAAUGUUAGGAAAACCGCUUGCUCUAUUUGGUAAAUAGUUCUUGUGCAUAGUGUGCAUAUAUGUAUACAUUUAUAUAUGUGUGUGUGUGUGUGUGUGUGUUUGUGCUUCUCUCUUAAUUUAUAAUUGAUAUUAUGAGCUAGCGAUAUCAGGAAUUUUAUGUUUCUUUCACAACCAGCCAACUUCAAGGCCGUGUGUUUACGUUAUCAUUCUUUCCAAACCUAUAGAGUAUAAAAAGUACCUGCUCUGAAUAAUUCUCAAAAAACCCCUUGGCUGCCAGUCUGGUCAAACAGUGGAUAUCUCAAUACAUAAAUAAACUGUGUUGUGGUGGGGGGGAACAGAAUUGAAUGUAAUGAUAUUCCAUGAUUACCAUCUGUUGCUAUGAAUCCAUUUAUUGUUUAAAUAACUGUCUCUAUCUUUGCUUUCAUUAAUGUAAUUAUCAAUUCAUUUUAAAUACCUGGCCUCAAUUACUUCAUAUUUACCCAAAAGACAUGUUCGUUAUCUUUUGUCGUUUACUUGUUUCAGUCAUUAGACUGUGGCCAUGCUGGGGCACUACCUUGAAGCACUUAUAGUCAAAUAAAUUGACCCCAGUUCCUAUUUUUAGGCCUGGUACUGAUUCUAUUGAUUUCUGUUGCCACACACAGACACUCACUAAUUCCAGCCAUUUAUCUUGAGUCUAUGGGAUAAAUAGUUGGAAUGUUUAAUGUCCCAGCAUUUAAUGACUGUAAGGAAUCCUCUAAAAUGUACAAAGUAACCCACCAUCACAAUCAACCAUCUUGCUCAUACAUUUGCUGGCCCCUUCCUCUGACUCAUCUACUUCCACUGCUACUCAAAGGUGGCUGAUCUUGUUCCAUCUUUAUUUAGCCCUGCACCCCUCCCCAACUCAAUUAUUUCUCCUCUCAUCACCUGCAUUGUUUCCUCCACCAACCCUAGGCCCUGCAUUAAUCACUUCCCUUAAGUCAUUCUUUAGAAGAUCAACCUGUUAGAAAUCCUUACCUCCCCAUCUUUUUUUAAUCCCUGUAACCAUCAUCCCCCGAUCAAAAACAUCAUCAACCCCAUUGAUCCAUUUCACUGGUCUCAGAGGUUGUGUGAAGUCUAUGGGCAUGACCCCAGUCUUCAGACCAAACCAUUGAAAAGAGAAAAAAAAUAAAAUGACUGAUGAUCCCUACUCUGUUAUCAGCUUGUUACCCAGCCCCUGCCAAUACGUCAGGCUUUUCUCAAUCACCAUGCUUUAGAUGACUGCUUCUCAACCAGGGUUUAUGUGACCCCUGCUAGUCCAUAUAAAUCUUUAGGGGUCCAUGCAAGCAAAAUAGUAAAUUGGAGAUCCACAAUAGUAUUUUAGGGGCCCAUGAAAAAAACUUUGUUUUAGCUGUAUUCAUUGCAAGACAGAUCUAGGGAAUGGAGCGGCAGUGGAAUAGCAGGGACUUCAGCUCUGGUACACAACCAUGUCAGAUGGAUGAUACUGGUGUUGAGUUUCUGAUGACAUUACCAUUACAAGCCUCUCAGAAGUUGAGGGUUCAAGUCAUCCUUAACCUCUAAUAAAUCACGAUAAAAAAUAUUUGGGAAUCAAGACAGAUGUGGUUAAAAGAAAAAAGAGAGGUUCCUUUUUAUUUAAUGGCUCUGUCACUACAAUAUCAUUAUUUCCAUCACUGUUGCAACGGUAAUUUUAUCUUAAAGGAAACAACUGCUAAUAACACAGACAGCUUCUCUACUUCAACAGUUCAUGGCAUUUUCACUAACACAGAAAAUAUUUGAUAAGAGAUGUCAGGCAAUGUAUUUCCUAUCUGAUUGUGUUCAAUGUGUUGUGUGUGUGUGUGUGUGUGUGUGUGUGUGUGUGUGUGUGUGUGUGUGUGUGUGUGUUUGUUAGUGUGUGUGUGUGUGUGUGUGUGUGUGUGUGUGUGUGUGUGUGUGUGUGUGUGCACGUGCACAAAGGUGAAGUGAGUCCAUAUUCUCAUUUUAUAUUUCAUGUAUUUCACUUCUGAAGUAAUAUUAAAAUCUCAAAUCUGAAGUGAGGACUCUGUUGAUUCGGUAGAAUAUUUUAUUUUUAUUCAACCUGGAUCCAGCUUGAAAUCACUGAAACUGUUUUUUCUAAAUCAUAAUCACCAUCAUCAUUAUCAUUUAACGUGUUUUCCAUGUUGGCAUGGGUUGGACAAAUAUUAAUACAAAUAUAUAUAUAUAUACAGGUGCAGGAGUGGCUGUGUGGUAUGUUGCUUGCUUACAAACCACAUGGUUCCGGGUUCAGUCCCACUGCAUGGCACCUUGGGCAAGUGUCUUCUACUAUAGCCUUGAGCCGACCAAAGCCUUGUGAGUGGAUUUGGUAGACAGAAACUGAAAGAAGCCCGUCGUAUACAUGUAUAUGUGUGUGUGUAUGUGUCUGUGUUUGUUCUCCCAACAUCACUUGACAACCGAUGCUGGUGUGCUUAUGUUCCCGUAACUUAGCAGUUCGGCAAAAGAGACUGAUAGAAUAAGUACUAGGCUUACAAAAAAUAAGUCCUGGGGGCGAUUUGCUCGACUAAAAAGGCAGUGCUCCAGCAUGGCUGCAGUCAAAUGACUGAAACAAGUAAAAGAGAGUAAGAGUAUACGAGGUCUGAUCAAUGAGUAUUCAGACUGUUGUCAUAGUGAUGAAGCUAAAGCAUGCAGAGAUUGACCUGGUACUCUGCUGUUUUAACGUUCUAGCUCACUUCUGCUGUUAAUAGAAGUGCUUGGAAGGAAGGUGUGUAGCAUGUGAUAAUCGCAUGGACCAUGACAGAGAAAGUUGUCAUGUUGAUACCUGCUCAGAGGCCUAUGCAAGGUUGCAGAAGGUGUAUGGAGAGGGGUAUAUGAGCCACACACAAGUGUCUGAAUGGUUGAGUAGUUUCCAAGAUGGCCAAAGAAAAUGUUGAUAUUGAUGAACAUUCUGGGAGACCCACAACCAGCAGAACUGAGAAAAACAUGGCAGAUGUGUAUGCAGCUGUGAGGGGAAAUUGUCGAAUCCCCAUCUGUGAGUUAUCAGAGGAUGUGCAGAUUAGUUACGGUUCAGUUCAGUCCAUUAUCUCUGAAGAUUUGGGUAUGAGACACAUGUCUGCCAAGUUUGUGCCAAAACUGCUUUCAGCUGACCAAGAAGACACUCGGGGUUUCAAGUUGCACAAGAUCUCUUUGUAAUGUGUCAAGAAGGAUGAAAACUUUUUGAAAUCUUUGCAUAGACCUCUGAGCAGGUAUUUCCAAGCUUUUGGCAAAAUUUGAUGUGGGUUCUCUGCUCAACUUGCACUGUUAAUAUCAGUACGAUGAUCACACGCUACACACCUUCCUUCCAAGCACUGCUGUAAACAGCAGAAUUGAGCUAGAAUGUUAAAACUUAGUACACAUAAACAGCAGAGUUCCAGGUCAAUCUGUGCCAAAUGGCUUUACUCUGCAUGCUUUAGCUUUGUUACUAUGGCAACUAUCCGGAUAUGUAUCGAUCAGACCAUGUAUACUCAUGUAUUGAGUCCUAUAUUUUCCUGAUUGCAUCACCAAAGUUAUAACUAAGAGUAUAAAUUUUUCUACCUUUUGCUUUUUUUUUCUUCCUAUGUUUGUCUUCAAAAGAUUGGUUAAACAUUGUAACUAAUCAGCAUUUUCUGUUAUAAAAAUAAUACAAAACACUAAUUUCUAUGACAUCUCUGUGUUUUGUGAUUAGACUUUAGGAAAAAAGAAAGAAAACAAAAAUAACUUCUGCUUUUAAAAAAAAAAUAGAAAAUAAAAGUAAAGACAAAAUGGAGAAAUGGCCAGAAAUGAUGGCAAUCACCAGCAUCAUCAUCGGUUUUGUGUCUGGAUUUUUGUGCUUGCAUGAGUUAGAGGGGUCAUGUUUAGCUCUCAACAUCUCAUCACUUGCUGCAUACCUUUGUUAUGUUACUAUUCUCAGAUUCAGCAUCCUACACACACACACACACACAUACACACACACACACACACACACACACACACACACACACACACCUGAUGCAGAGAAGGAAUGGAGAUGCAGGAAAAGCAGUAAAAUGUGACAACUGAUGCAGACUUUGGUCCCAGAUUCAGUCUCACUGUGUGACACCUUGAGAAAGUAUCUUCAACCAUGGCCUUGGGUUGACCAAAGCCUCAUGAAUGGAUUUGGUAGAUGAAAACUGAGAGAAGCCUAUUUUGUGUGUGUGUGCGCGUGUGUGCGUGCGUGUGUGUGUGUGUAUCCGUGUGUCCAUGUCCCACCACCACUUGACAACCAGUGUUGAUUUAUGUUCCCAUGACAUAGCAGUUCAGUGAAAGAGACUGAUAGAAUAAGUAGUAAGCUGAAGAAAAUAUGAGUACUGGGGUUGAUGAAUUUGACUGAAAGUUCUUCAAGGCAGUGCCCCAGCUUGGCCAUAAUCUAAUGAGUGAAACAAGUAAAAGAUGUAAGAUGUAUAUGUGGGAAGGUGAACAUAUUGAAAUAUCUACAUCAAAACAUCACAGGAUCAAAUUCAAGUUUUCCUUUUAUUACCGACUUCAAACCUGCUCACAAUUAGGUGUCCACUUCCCCCAUUGUCCGACGAUAAAAUAUUUAGUGACUUUCACUUGAGAAUAAUAAUUUAGCACUUCACACUGCAAAAGAUAUGAAAGCUAUCAUCUUCAGCUAAUUGCGAAAUCCUCUUAAAAAAGAGGCAUCAGGUAACCACAGUCAGUCAUUUGAUGCUGUCGUAUUCCUAUAGAGCUUUGUGAUUUGAUUAUUUCGUUGUUGUCAGUAUGGCAGCUGUGGCUGGAGGGCACCCAAUCAAUAUUGCACUUUGACACACAUACUGAAGCUCUCCAUUCAAUCUGCAUAAGACAUUUCACAUUACUUCUUUCAGAUUAGCUCCAUACACCUCGGCUUCUAUUAUCUUCAAAAGAAUAUUUAUGUUAAACAUCUAAUUAUAUGAAGCAUUUGAAAAGAGCAGCCACAAUUGUUGACCGUCUUGAAUUAUUGAGUUUCUUUUCACUUUGUUAACUCUGGUCUUUCCUCAGCGGAGAACCAUUAUUUCUCCAUAAAAUAUUGUAUUUGGCACCAUUUCAGAAUACUUGGGGCGAGGGUUAAUUGCCUGUUAUUGUAACUAUUCGUGAUCAUUGAUUUUAACAUGUUCAGACUGAAUUUGAAAACUGUGUAUCAUAAUUACUUCCCUACAUAAUGAAACCACACAAACAGACCCCCUUUUUUUUUCAGAACUACAGAUAACAUCGAAAUGCUAUCAGAUAUGCUCUCUCUUUUUUAUUUUUUUUUGUUUUGUUUUCAGCACCUUAGACUGUAACAUCUUAGGGAAUCGAGUUAGUGAUAGAUUUUGAUUAAUGAAUAUAGUCGUUUCAAUACAUAGAAAUUUCUAAUACUAUUAUGGAAGAAACUAAGCAUCGUCUCUUCCCCUUCCCCAACCCCUAAACAGCUUCAGGUUCAUCUGAAGAAUACAUUGAGAUACAUUGACUAUAAUAGCAAACUACACGUGACUCUUUACAUCUGAUAAUGAUAAAGGCUGUUUCUGAAAAUCAAAAAAAAGUUAAUUUAAAUUGUAUGCAUGACUGUUACAUCCAUUUUAUUGGUUUUGUAAAAAUGUGACAUGGAAUAUAAGUGAGCUGAUUCUAAAAUCUGGUUCUUUUUUGGUGUUAUGGCAUGGAGUGGCUACCCAGGAAACAUUACCAACCACACAGUAGUAAUCCAUAGUAAGAUAUCAUCAUCAUUCAACAUCUGCUUUCCAUGCUGGCAUGGGUUGGAUGGUUUGACAAGGAGCUGGAAAUCCAGGGAGCUGCAGCAAGCUCCAGUUGUCUGUUUCAGCAUGAUUUCUACAGCUGGAUGCCCCUCCCUAACAUCAACCACUUUAUAGAGUGUGCUGGGUGCUUUUUAUGUGACCCCAGCACAGGUGCUUUUUAUGUGGCCCCAGCAUGGGUACCUUUUAUUGACUUAAAUAAUACAGAAAUUAUACAAGUGUUUGAUGGACAAGUAAAAUUGAGCCUGUUGCCCCGUGGGGUAAUUCAUAGAAGCAGAACCAACUUCAGUUUUUGGUAAAGCAGAUUGAAGGAGGAUUGUAUUUUGAAUAAUAAAACACAAGAACAGGAAUCAACUCAUUGGAGAAAAUAUGGAAAAUCAAAGUGAGAAAUUCUUUGUGAAGUGAGAGGGAAUCAAAAUGCCAAACUGUGUGAUGAGGUUGGACAUAAAAACCAACAAAUUAUAUUAGAGAGGAAGGAUGUUAGAGAUGACACGUUUAGAAUAUAACCAUCAGAGGCAGGAGAGAUGGCUUAUUUAGAAUAUAACAAACAGAGGUAAUAUGAAUGGAUAUAAGAAUAAAGAGUUGAAGUUCAUAUCGGUGUGUGUCUGUGUGUCUGUCUGUUUGCUUAUGUAUUUGCUGAUGAGAUGAACAUAAAUUGUAGGCAGUGUUAUGAGAGCAUUUACUAAAUAUAUUAUUAAUGGAGCAAAGGAGUAAUUAAGAUACUAUUGUAAUUAAUCAAAGUGAUAUUAAGGGAUAGGUAUGACACUUAAUCCUGCCCCCAAGGUAGAACCAAAAUGAAGGUCAGCACAUAGAUAGAAGCUGUGCGUAUCUUGUACACAGCCACUGUAUCAAAUUGAAUCAAUCAUUAGACUAGUCACAUAUAUUCAAUUAUUGCUGGUUGGCAAGUCAGUGUUUGAUUUAAUAGCAACCACAAACAACUGGUGUCAUUAGAGCGGCACUUCUCUGUGUGCAAAGAGCGGUGGAAUUAAUCAUUGGCAGCCUGUAUGGAAGUGUAAUUUGUAUUAAUCAGUAAGUCUUCUGUUGUCAGCCAUUACAGGGAUAAAUUUGACAGAGCUGACAGGAGAAAAUAGAGAGAAAUUGAAACUAAUAAACAGACACACAUGUAAUUUGGUUUUGUUGUAUUAGAUUGAGGAAGUUGAUGCUAUAUUUUUCAAUGCAUCCUCUUCAAGAACCAAGAAGAGUAUUUAGAAAAUGUAAUGAGUGUUUUUUAAUUAAUUAGCUAAGAACAGUUAAUUCUGAUUGCGAUGGAAUUUUCAGUUGUAAUCACAAAUUGAAGAAGUUUCAAAAAACUAUUUGACGUAUGUUUCAAGUUCUUUAAAAUCUACCAAAGUUGAUUUAAAUAGUAAACUCAGAACUCUAUAUUUCAGAUGCUUAACCACAAGGGUUCUUCAUUUCUAUUUCCUCGGGAUUUAGUCAUCCCACUGAGUUCUUAAAUCUGCCUCUCAUUAUCUCAGUCGAUAUGGAAAAGAAACCUCAAUCCAUUCAGAAAUUUGUAUCUGAAUCACUUCUUGUUAAAAAAGUCAACAGGAUGCUUUACAGGUUGUGAAAGGUAUAAUACAAGUCUACCUUGUUAUAAAACUGGUAUCUUUCAAAACAAUAAUGUUAAAAUGUGAUAUAUUAGUUUCAAAUUUUGGCCCAAGGCCAGCAAUUUUGGGGGAGGGGGCUAAGUUGAUUACAUCAACCCCUGUAUUCAACUGGUAUUUAUGUUAUCAACCCUGAAAGGAUGAAAGGCAAAGGUGAUUUUAAACUCAGAAUGUAACGAUGGACGAAAUGCAAGCGUUUUGCCUGGUCUCCUAACAGUUCUGACAGCUUGUCACCUAAAAAACUGGAAUCUUUUAACAUAUUAUAAGCAAGGGGAUAGAAGAAGGGAAUUUACCUUUGAUCCACUAAGACAAAACAACAACUAAAAGAAGAAUAUCACCUCCUUUGGGUUGUCAGGGUUUACAAAUUUAUAUUUCAACAUAGGAGCUCUCAGUACAACACAGACUGUCAAGCAGUGGUGAUUGUGGUGGGAGUGGAUAAGCACAGACACAAAGAUACACACACAUAAAACGGGCUUCUUUCUUUUUCCAUCUAUCAAAUCCAUUCACAAGGCUUUGAUUGGUCCCAGGCUGUAGUAGAAGACACUUGCCCAAGGUGCUACACAACGGGACUGAACCUAGAACCAUGUGGUUCAGAAGCAAGCUUCUUACCACACAGCCUUGCCUGCACCUAUCAUAGUUGAGCAUUUUAUCAGAGAUAUAUGAUUGACUAAUUGACUGAUGCUAGCAUAAGUCAUCACUCACUCCGCUCCGACACUCUAGUGACUAUAAGUGAAGUAGUUUAGUGGUUUUUCUCCACACUAUUAACCUAAUCUCUUGUGUUUGUUUUCAAAAAAAUAAAUCCAAACUUUGAAGUUAAUCGUGUGGAAAACCCAAACAACUCUGUUUUAAAAGUUGAUUAACAUUUUAGGAAAUGGUUAACAUGUUUGAAAAAUCUUCUACGAAAGAUAUUUACAUUUUAUUUAUUUAAAACGGUUUUUUUCCUCUCUGCCCAUUAAAUGGUUGUGAAUUGGCUGAAAAUGUUCUAAAAUUGAAGAACUGUUGAUUUACUGCUGAAUGUUUUUCUUAAGACAAUAUAUAUAUGUGUGUGUGUGUGUGUAUAUAUAUACAUAUACAUACACACAUCGUUAAUACUUCAUUUUCUGUUUCUUACUCUUAUUAUUGUUAUUGUUCAAAUAUAUAUCUCUGUAUGAAGAGUGUGUAUACACACUCAGAUGCACACACAUAUAUUACCCAACCCAAAUACCAUACAGCAUUGGAAGCAGAUGCAAAAUGAGGAUAUACAUACAUACGAUGCUGAUGAUAUAUAUGUUUGAUGAUGAUUAUAUGUGUGUAUGUAUAUAUAUAUAUAUAUAUAUGUGUAUAUAUAUUUAUAUAUAUAUAUGUGUGUGUGUGUGUGUGUGCAUUGAUAGAGAAUGUUUUAAUUUUUGGACUCUACUGUUUGUAAAUAGCUUUAGUUUAUUGAGGAUAUAAAGCAUGCGUGCACACACACAAAUGUACAUACACACACACACACACACACAGUAUGUAUAUAUAUACACACACACACACAUGCAGUGGGAUAAUGUUUUAUAAGCACAUAUGUUGGCUUCUCAUAAAUGUUUUCUUUACUGUUGCCUUUAAAGAUCUUUGAUCUUGGAUUAAAUUCUUAAUUUAUUUGCGAAUUUAUGUAGGUAUAUCACACACACACACACACACACACACACACACACUAACACACAUAUAUAUGCAUGCACAUAUGCACAUGCAUGUGUGUACACAUAUACAUGCAUGUGCAUAUGCAUGUGCACACACGCACGCAUGUGCACGCACACACACACACACACAUACACACACGCUCACACACACACACAUGUAAACCAUUUGUAAAUAUAUUUCAAUUCUUACUUUGUAUUUUUUAUUAAGUUUCUGGAAAUUUCUUUUAAUUUCAGGUCCAUCAUGUAGUCACUUGUAAAUGAACUUUGACCCAGCAGAGAUGGAAGGGUCAUCUGUAUCAAACAAGUCACAAAAUAAUCAAGGUAA
rnacentral:lncRNA from 1 species